GGAGGAGUAGGCAGCUACCAUCAGCUCUGGCUGGAACAUCCCAUUGCUUUGCAGAGGUAAAUCAAAAUGAAGUCAAUAUGCAAAAGUAAAGAUAACAAGGGCCUGGCUGACUAAAGUAAGUUCUGCAACUGAAGGGUGGAUUAUGGCAGGGUGAACUUAACUAAAAGAAGAUAGCAGCCUGGCUAUUUACAUCUGAGAAUUAUCCUUCAAAAUCUACCAAAGACCACAUAGAUACAAGAAUAAAGUAAGAAGCGAAUGUUGGCAUCAUGAGUCAUGAUUCAGAUUAAUCUUCUAUGGCCUUGAAUCUAACCACUACAGCUCACAAAGUGAGAGAAGAGAGUCACCCAGAGCUUCCAAGGACCCCCAGAGUCGCUGUGCAACCUGCAAGCAGCACAAGAUUUCCUGUCAGUGAGCAGUUCUUAAACAUGUAUUAAGUCAAGGAAUUUUCAGGAGGACAAACUGUCUUGGGUGCUAAGAUGUGCCUCAGCAACCAUGGGCAAUAUUGAUCUCCUGAUGCUUCGACACAAUUUCCAAAAGCAACAGGUUUUGAAGUUGGAGAGGAGAGACAUGGGUACGGAAAAUGAGCGGAUUCCAACCUGAUGCAGACUGGUUGUCAUAACAAGGAACCAGAUAGAUCAGAGUGUAGCAAGAGACUGGGACAUAGCAACAGGCUUCCUGUGAAUGUAGCGGCCUUGUAUGGAUCAAUUAUCUGGCUGGAAGGAGACUUUCGAUUCUUAAUUCCAGUGUCUUUUUUUCCUGAUGUAUGCCUUGCAACCUACAUUUAACACAAUUUACUAAGAAGGUAUGGAGAGAGAGGAAGA